UAGGGAAUAUUGGUCAAUGGGCGAGAGCCUGAACCAGCCAUGCCGCGUGCAGGAUGACGGCCUUAUGGGUUGUAAACUGCUUUUAUACGGGAAGAAAAAGUCCUUGCGAGGAAAAUUGCCGGUACCGUAUGAAUAAGCACCGGCUAACUCCGUGCCAGCAGCCGCGGUAAUACGGAGGGUGCAAGCGUUGUCCGGAUUUAUUGGGUUUAAAGGGUACGUAGGCGGAUUUUUAAGUCCGUGGUGAAAGCCCACAGCUUAACUGUGGAAUUGCCAUGGAUACUGGAAAUCUUGAGUUCAGUUGAGGUAAGCGGAAUUUAUGAUGUAGCGGUGAAAUGCAUAGAUAUCAUAAAGAACACCUAUUGCGAAGGCAGCUUGCUGGACUUGGACUGACGCUAAGGUACGAAAGCGUGGGGAGCGAACAGGAUUAGAUACCCCCGUAGUCC
rnacentral:rRNA from 1 species